UGGGGAAUAUUGCACAAUGGGGGAAACCCUGAUGCAGCGACGCCGCGUGAAGGAAGAAGUAUCUCGGUAUGUAAACUUCUAUCAGCAGGGAAGAUAGUGACGGUACCUGACUAAGAAGCCCCGACUAACUACGUGCC
rnacentral:rRNA from 1 species